CAGCAUGGAGAGCAGAGCGCAAAGAUUUCCUCCAGACUCCCACAUUCUCCCUUGGAAUCCAAGAACUUGUCUACUAUCACAACACUUUAGUACCCACUUCUCCUAAGGAGGCAGCAGAAACCAAGGUAAUCACAAUGGUCAACAGCAGCGAAGGCAGCACUUUCUGAUUUUAAACUUGACUGCUAUGGAUGCCACCUCAGUUUAAUAUCUCGAGACCACCUAGGUUGGCUGUCACUUGGCAGAAGGGGAUCCUCUCAAGGGAGCUUCUCUACAAGACCCUCUCCGUCUGGUCCAGGACCUGAAUGCCUAUGAAGUUCACUCCUUUGGCCCCACUCCCUUCCUGCUGCCUUUGGGCUCUCCUCAUGUGACUCUGCCUGUUGAAACUGUCUGCUAGCCGGCCCAGCAUCUCCAGGCAUGGCCUCACUCAUCUAUCUCUCUCUUGCCGAAGGUCUCCUCAUGUAACACAUGAUUCCUUUAGAUGGUCCUUCAUCACUAGCAAGAUGAAACCUAAAUUCAUUGGCAUGGUAGACAAGACUCUAGCCUUGCCUCCCAGAGGCCAGUCUCUGUCUCCGCCACUCCCCAAGUGGACUGCAUUGUGUUUCUGCUGCCAUAAACAUAAUUUAUUCUGGCUGGAACAUCUUCUGUCCGUGUCUGCAGAGUGCACUUCACUCCCCCUGCAGUUCAAGCAUCCUUCCUCCACAAAGCCUUUUCUUUUGAUCACUGCAGGACCUGUGAAAGCUAUCCUGAGAUAGCCUGUAUUUACUGGACUGAAAUGAUCUGCUUGCCCAUCAAUUUCCCCAAAUGAUAUAUGGCAAGGAGUAGUUGAAUCUAAGAGCAGAUCUCAAAGCCUAUGUCCUUUCCAUUGUCUUGUACCCUGCUC
rnacentral:antisense_RNA from 1 species